rnacentral:lncRNA from 1 species
UUGUCACAGGCAUUAACUCUGGUAUCUCAUCUGCCAGAGUUGCCUUUUUGAUUGGUUUGGAGGGUUUUUGAUUUUUCUUUUUGGAUGGCCUUUUUGCAGUAGGCUCAGCAGCAGAUACCUGAGGAGCAGUGGUAACUGCUAAAGUCUGCUCAGGUACCCCUGCUUGUGUUUUGCAAGGUGCUAACAUACGUGAAAAUGUUUCAGAUGCAGUUUAUUACAGUUAUCUCACCUUGGUUUAUUAAAGCUAAAUCAUCCUUACUGAAUUUCUUUUCAAAAUAGUAACUUAAAAACCUUGGAAACAGUAAGAAUGAUUUGGUUUCAACAUUAUUAACCAAAUCUUUAAAGAUUUCCCGAGAAUAGUUAUAAUUUUCUUCUUGAAGAAUUGCAUAUCCCAGAUUUUGAAUCUUUAUAGGGAUCUCAUUAAAAGAAGUGGUUUUGUUUGAAACACAUAGUAGGAGGGUAUGAAAUAGGAAUCUGGGUGCAGAAGGAAAAUAACCUUUUUCUAAGGUUAGUUUCUUCAUCAUUGUGGCUUCAUACCCUCGUUCAAUGAAGUCAAUGUGCAACUCGUUUUUAGUGAAGGAAGUUUUACCUGCCUGAUCAUCGAGUUGAAAGACUUCGGAGAUGGAUU